UACGUAGGUGGCAAGCGUUGUCCGGAUUUACGGGGCGUAAAGAGCGCGCAGGCGGCUGGGCAAGUCCGAUGUGAAAGCUUCCGGCUUAACUGGAAAAUUGCAUUGGAAACUGCUCGGCUUGAAGGUGGGAGAGGGUAGCGGAAUUCCCGGUGUAGUGGUGAAAUGCGUAGAUAUCGGGAGGAACACCAGUGGCGAAGGCGGCUACCUGGCCCAUUCUUGACGCUGAGGCGCGAAAGCUAGGGGAGCAAACGGG
rnacentral:rRNA from 1 species